rnacentral:rRNA from 1 species
UACGAAGGGGGCUAGCGUUGUUCGGAAUUACUGGGCGUAAAGCGUGCGCAGGCGGCUUCUCAAGUCAGGGGUGAAAGCCCAGAGCUCAACUCUGGAAUUGCCUUUGAGACUGAGUGGCUUGAGUACGAGAGAGGUGAGUGGAAUUCCCAGUGUAGAGGUGAAAUUCGUAGAUAUUGGGAAGAACACCGGUGGCGAAGGCGGCUCACUGGCUCGUAACUGACGCUGAGGUGCGAAAGCGUGGGGAGCGAACGGG